AAAAAAGCAGUGGUCUGUUGCCUAUGUGAGCAGUCCUCUCGUAACCUUCAGGGAUAUAGUAACCACUGUUAUUGGGUGAACCUUUGUUUAUUCUCUGUGACUGAAGGUUCAGUAAAUGAUGGAACAUGU